CUUUGUUUUUUCAGUUCCUUACAGAGAGAUGCAUCCAUGCCUUCUCCACUCGUAAUCAUUCAUGAGACAACAAGGUAAGGCAGUGGGACGAUUCUUCACUGUGUUUUUGUUGGGCGUCUCUUCUGCCUUGCAGCAGCAGGUAAUUACAUUUGCUCGUUAUGGCACAUACCUUAUCCCCAUCUCUCUCUCCAUGUACAGAUUGUUGUUGAUUGGUUUAGGCUCCCAUAAAAGAACCCCAGUAAUUUUUUUGGUGGGUGAUGAGCACAAAAGGCCCCGUUCCCCUUUAAUAUAAGUUGGUUGUUCUGGGAACCAAAAGAAUUCACAGUUUCUGAUGCAUGAUAGCAUAUCUGGUCUUGCUCUUUACAUUGCAGCAUGUAAAAAAUCCUUGAUAUUGUAAGAUUGAUUGUCAGAACUUGGUGCUUCAUCAUCUCCUCCCUGGAGAGAUACACGCCCCGAGAUUUUUGUUUGGUCGAGAAUGCAGAUGCAAAAGGAGCGGUAGAAGUUUGGGGUCUGCAUUGUUUACUAAAAGGAAAGCUUUAUGAUUUUGCAAUCAGCUUUCCUAAAAUGUAAAGUUUCAUUUGUUAAUUUGUUCAACCUUUUGAGCCUUUGAUUUUAGCAUGUAGCUCCUGGUGAAGGAAGAAAUAAAUGAUGGUAAGAACCACCAGGCCA